CGGCCGCACUACAUGACACUCUGGACCGAGCAGCCUGGGAGUCUCCUGCUUGACUGAGCACGCAGUCCUGAGGCGCUUACAGGUGGUGGAUGGAUGGAUGCCCCUCUGUACUGGGGCUGCUUCCCCAUGAGUGCGGCUUUAGAAUCUGUCAUUCUCCACUGCUGCAGGGCCUGCAGGUGACUGCACACCACCCUGCACUCUGGGACCAACAGUUCGCAAGACAUUCUUCAUCUGCCUGCCUAAGGGCAGGUGGAGGGUGGUAGAUUCCUGUGAUGGAAUCAUGUAAUCUGCAGGAAUACACUGUUAGGUUGUAAAGUGCUGGACUCCGGGACACCGCUCUGUCAUUCUUCUGAGCAGGAGCAUGCUUAUACCAAAAUGACAGAAGACGUUGGCCAAGACGAUCACCAAACAGGAAGCCUGCGGUCUUGCAGUUCUUCGGACUGCUUUAGCAAAGUGAUGCCGCCCAGGAAAAAGAGAAGACCUGCCUCUGGAGACGACUUAUCUGCCAAAAAAAGCAGGCAUGACAGGUAGGAUACAAAGGCC
rnacentral:lncRNA from 1 species